UGUGUGUAUGUGUGUGUGUGAGUGACUCUUCAACGGAAAUAUAAUAUAAUAGUGAAUUUUUGCCGAAACCGCAUUGGAUUGGUUGGAUGGUGGUGAAGAAAUGGUGAUGAUGAUGAUGAUAAUAAUGAUGAUGAUGAUGAUGAUGAUGAUGAUGGUGUUGAUUAUCUGUGUUGAAGAAAAUUUCACGUGAAUAAAGGUGUCGCAAGCUCUCGUCUCUGCUUUUCGAUCCGGUCCAUCAACUCGGAGUAUAAAAAUCGAUGUUGACAAAUAAUCGUUUACAUGAAGAAGAACAUCUCGUUGUACUAUCGUGGAAGCCCGAGAGAAAA
rnacentral:lncRNA from 1 species